GCACAGCUCUGGCAGGGUUUCCUACAUUGGAGACGUUCUUCUCUGAAGACUUUAUUUCCCUUGGAAGGAGAAAUUCCUCCACCUGCAAGAAAACGCACUGCCCUUCGUCGAAUUUAAAAGAAGUCUGCCUGCAGGAAGAAGGACAAAACCUGUGAAGCUGAUAAACUGAAAUAGAAGCAGGAAAGAGCAAGAUAAAAGCUAGCAGUGGUCCUGCAGCAGGUGCCGAGGCCAAGUUCAUUGUGGUUCAGCCGUGUUACACGGAAGGUGGAUCUGGCUGCUUCUGUUGGAAGAGAAACAGGUCCCCCACGAGGGAUGCUUCUGAGCCGUAUCGCGUUUUGAAAUCUGAUCAUCAGCCUACGGAAUGCCACAAGAGGUUUGUUUUGUGCUGCUGAAGUUCAGCCCAACACGCUAAGUGACUCAGCUCGGGAAGAAUAGUUGGCAAUGGGACUGCAGUUUGUACUGGCUUCUGCCAUCUUUAGCGGGAGGCCUACCAAAGGCUGAGUUGUUCUUUCUUUGUUCAGCACCCAUAGGGAAAGAAUCUGUUUCCUCUCUUUGUAGAACUGAACAACUCUUAGGAAUGUUGAACCUUAAACUUUAUUUAAUGGAGAGGAAGGGCUUCCAGAUUUGGAUCAUUUGCCUUGGAAGCAUGCGGGCUUAAGCUGAUACUGCAAACCUUUGUGAGAAAAUGCAGCGCUUACAAUAUCUGCAUCGCAUGAUGUAAUGUGUUGAUCGAUCUCUAAUGGGGAAACAGCAUAAAAAAACUAUCAGAGGAAAUAACCAUUGCUUUAUGCUUUAAGAGCGAAGAUACUGCCCUCUCGAUAUCAAAGUCUAGGACGAGAGAACUUUAGUUCUAAAAGGCCUGAAUGCAUUCAGACCUUGCACAGCAAGCCCGGACCAAGCAGGGUGACACACACUAUUUUCAAGGUAAAAUGUGCACGAUACAAUAUUUGCUACUUGGGGUUUUAACAGCUCGAAAAACAUUCUUGGAGGGUAACAAGACUUUCUGGAAGCGAGCCACUUUCGGAUGCUAUUGCCAGCACGUCUGCCUACUCUGGGUAGCAUCAGAAACUGUGCUGAAAAAUUAAACAAACAUAGUCUUGGCAUCUAAACAGAUGGGAAAGGACAUGUUGACUCCCAAGUCUUUAGCUGAGGAGGUAGUCUGUUCCUCAUUGUUACCACUGUGCAGCGCGGAAUUGCAAAACACCCACAUAGAUUUUCAGACCUGCUAGCUGCACUUAACCUUUAAUCCUGCAAGUACUCAGCCAUGAGCAUAUAAUUUUAAACGUCUGAGUAGUCUGACUGACUCCGAUGGGAAUACUCACUGAAUGAAGUUAAACAUUUGCAUAAAUGUUUGCAGGAUCAGGAUCUUUCACUACAAACACAAUUCUUGCACUACAAACACAAACUCCGCUUGGGCUGAGCUCAAGUUCUCAAGGCAUUAAGAAACCUAUAUCCUCUACAGAUGUGUUUUAGAUUUCAUGUUAAUUUGUGAUUUCUAUGUCAUAAAACAUCUUCCAUUAGGCUAAUGAGUAACCUUUCUCAUGAGAGAGGAGGAAUGAUACGCUUUCUGACAUGACUGCAUAGGUUUGAAAGAAUGGAACCUGAACUGGAUCAGCAACUUACGAGCUUCAGUGUGUCGAAGAGGUUCAGGCAUCCUGAUGGGAUUUUUGGCCUUUUAAAGUUUUUAAAACCUGUUUUCUGUGGUUUAGACCUGAUCUGAAAAUCCUCCUUCCUGCCCUUGCAAGGACAAGGCUGCUUCCAUGAGCAAGGGAUUGACUCACUUAUCCCUGGAGUUUUGCUUUGCUGACUAAACACGUUGGGACUUUUGAGGCAAAGAGGGGGAAGCAUGUCACGCACAGCCCCUUCUUCCUCAGCAGAUCUGCCCGGUGAAGGAAUCCCCCCGCAGCUGGGAAGCUGCUCCUCCGUCUCGCUUCUAGCUGACGGUUGAGCUUAAGUGGCAGGACUUUAUCUGCACGUUCACCAUCUUGGGCUGCCGAGAUUGCUCUGCAUUUUAUAGAAAAUCUUGCUAAUUAAAAUAUAGCCUUUGG